rnacentral:tRNA from 1 species
GGGCCGCUAGCUCAACUGGCAGAGCAGCUGACUCUUAAUCAGCAGGUUGGAGGUUCGAUUCCUCCGCGGCUCACCA